rnacentral:rRNA from 1 species
GACGAACGCUGGCGGCGUGCUUAACACAUGCAAGUCGAACGGAAAGGCCCUGCUUUUGUGGGGUGCUCGAGUGGCGAACGGGUGAGUAAAACGUGAGUAACCUGCCCUUGACUUUGGGAUAAAUUCAGGAAACUGGGGCUAAUACCGGAUAGGAGCUCCUGCUGCAUGGUGGGGGUUGGAAAGUUUCGGCGGUUGGGGAUGGACUCGCGGCUUAUCAGCUUGUUGGGGGGGUAGUGGCUUACCAAGGCUUUGACGGGUAGCCGGCCUGGGAGGGUGACCGGCCACAUUGGGACUGAGAUACGGCCCAGACUCCUACGGGAGGCAGCAGUGGGGAAUAUUGCACAAUGGGCGGAAGCCUGAUGCAGCAACGCCGCGUGCGGGAUGACGGCCUUCGGGUUGUAAACCGCUUUCGCCUGUGACGAAGCGUGAGUGACGGUAAUGGGUAAAGAAGCACCGGCUAACUACGUG